AUUGAACGCUGGCGGCAUGCCUUACACAUGCAAGUCGAACGGUAACGGGCCUUCGGGUGCCGACGAGUGGCGAACGGGUGAGUAAUACAUCGGAACGUGCCCGAUCGCGGGGGAUAACGAGGCGAAAGCUUUGCUAAUACCGCAUACGAUCUACGGAUGAAAGCAGGGGACCGCAAGGCCUUGCGCGGACGGAGCGGCCGAUGGCAGAUUAGGUAGUUGGUGGGAUAAAAGCUUACCAAGCCGACGAUCUGUAGCUGGUCUGAGAGGAUGAUCAGCCACACUGGGACUGAGACACGGCCCAGACUCCUACGGGAGGCAGCAGUGGGGAAUUUUGGACAAUGGGCGCAAGCCUGAUCCAGCCAUGCCGCGUGCAGGAUGAAGGCCUUCGGGCUGUAAACUGCUUUUGUACGGAACGAAAAGCCUUCUUUUAAUACAGGAGGGUCAUGACGGUACCGUAAGAAUAAGCACCGGCUAACUACGUG
rnacentral:rRNA from 1 species